UGACUUCCUGCAACAGUGAACCUAGA
rnacentral:piRNA from 1 species